UUUUGCUAGUACACCACUAAGCUCUUUAAUAGUUUUGGGUGUAUUCCAUCAGGUCCCAUUGACUUAUUUGUCUUUACUUUUGACAGUUGAAAUAGAACCUCUUCCUCUGUAAACUCAUUUAUCCUUUUUCUUAACUGAGGUUCCUUUCCUUCAUUUUCAUCUGUAAAUACAGAACAAAAAUAUUCACUGUGGCAGUCAGCUAGACCUUUAUCCUCUUCUACAUACCUUC